UACGUAGGGGGCAAGCGUUGUCCGGAUUUAUUGGGCGUAAAGAGCUCGUAGGCGGCUUGGCAAGUCGGGUGUGAAAACUCCAGGCUCAACCUGGAGAUGCCACUCGAGACUGCUAUGGCUAGAGUCCGGUAGGGGACCACGGAAUUCCUGGUGUAGCGGUGAAAUGCGCAGAUAUCAGGAGGAACACCGGUGGCGAAGGCGGUGGUCUGGGCCGGCACUGACGCUGGAGGAGCGAAAGCGUGGGGAGCAAACAGG
rnacentral:rRNA from 1 species